UACGAAGGGGGCUAGCGUUGUUCGGAAUUACUGGGCGUAAAGCGCACGUAGGCGGACAUUUAAGUCAGGGGUGAAAUCCCGGGGCUCAACCUCGGAACUGCCUUUGAUACUGGGUGUCUUGAGUAUGGAAGAGGUAAGUGGAAUUGCGAGUGUAGAGGUGAAAUUCGUAGAUAUUCGCAGGAACACCAGUGGCGAAGGCGGCUUACUGGUCCAUUACUGACGCUGAGGUGCGAAAGCGUGGGGAGCAAAC
rnacentral:rRNA from 1 species